rnacentral:rRNA from 1 species
AGCGCAGGCGGACCGGCAAGUUGGAAGUGAAAACUAUGGGCUCAACCCAUAAAUUGCUUUCAAAACUGCUGGCCUUGAGUAGUGCAGAGGUAGGUGGAAUUCCCGGUGUAGCGGUGGAAUGCGUAGAUAUCGGGAGGAACACCAGUGGCGGAGGCGACCUACUGGGCACCAACUGACGCUGAGGCUCGAAAGCAUGGGUAGCAAAC